rnacentral:tRNA from 2 species
GGGUAGGUAGCCGAGCGGUCAGGCAUUCGCCUUUUAAGCGAAGAGACGAUGGGUUCAAAUCCCUCCCUUCCCACCA